AGCGAACGCUGGCGGCAGGCUUAACACAUGCAAGUCGAGCGGGCGUAGCAAUACGUCAGCGGCAGACGGGUGAGUAACGCGUGGGAACGUACCUUUUGGUUCGGAACAACACAGGGAAACUUGUGCUAAUACCGGAUAAGCCCUUACGGGGAAAGAUUUAUCGCCGAAAGAUCGGCCCGCGUCUGAUUAGCUAGUUGGUGAGGUAACGGCUCACCAAGGCGACGAUCAGUAGCUGGUCUGAGAGGAUGAUCAGCCACAUUGGGACUGAGACACGGCCCAAACCCCUCCGGGAGGCAGCAGUGGGGAAAAUUGGAAAAGGGGGGCAACCCUGAUCCACCCAUGCCGGGUGAGGUAUGAAGGCCCUAGGGUUGUAAAGCUUUUUUGGGCGGGAAGAUAAUGACGGUACCGAAAGAAAAAGCCCCGGCUAACUUCGG
rnacentral:rRNA from 1 species